AGCAGUGGGAGGAAGUUGUGCUGUUGGAGAGACUAAGCAGUACACACCAUAUAUCAGGCACAGAGAAGGAGGCCCUGAGGAAAAUCAACAAAGGAGGACUGAGGUUUUGUAAAUGCCUUCUGCUGUGGUGUAAUGGGAUGGCACCCAUUUCUCACACAGUGGAACUCAACACUUAAGAGGGAACUCCUAGAACUGGCCUGCUCUACCUGUUUCCCUUGAGACGAUCCUUUCUGAGUCACUGUACUAACCUGUUUACUAUGAGGUCUAGCUUGGGUUCCCACCAUAACCGGCUGACCUUGAAAAUCUGUCUGGUUCUCAACUGUAUCCUGUUAUUCCUGAGAUUCUGU